UACGUAGGGUGCAAGCGUUGUCCGGAAUUAUUGGGCGUAAAGAGCUCGUAGGCGGUCUGUCGCGUCGGCUGUGAAAACCGGGGCUCAACCCCAAGCCUGCGGUCGAUACGGGCAGGCUCGAGUUCGGUAGGGGAGACUGGAAUUCCUGGUGUAGCGGUGAAAUGCGCAGAUAUCAGGAGGAACACCGGUGGCGAAGGCGGGUCUCUGGGCCGAUACUGACGCUGAGGAGCGAAAGCGUGGGGAGCGAACAGG
rnacentral:rRNA from 1 species